rnacentral:misc_RNA from 1 species
GAAAUGCGAUAAGUAAUGUGAAUUGCAGAAUUCAGUGAAUCAUCGAAUCUUUGAACGCACAUUGCGCCCGCCAGCACUCUGGCGGGCAUGCCUGUUCGAGCGUCAUUUCAACCCUCAGAACCCCUUGCGGGAUCUGGCGUUGGGGAUUGGCAUCCAGCCAGCCCCGAAAUCUAGUGGCGGUCCCUCCGCGACCUCCCCUGUGCAGUAGCGAUACCUCGCAGCGGGACAGCGGUCUGACCACGCCGCAAAACCCCCAACUUCUCAAGGUUGACCUCGAAUCAGGUAGGAAUACGCGCUGAACUUAAGC